GCCUCGUGUCNUUCGCCCCCAAGUGCCUCCACCGGUGCACGUACCAGCGCCUACCACCACCUCGUCCUCCUCCCCGUGGAUAUUCAACAGAUACGACGAAGAGAUGGAGAGACCGAGCAAGCGACACUGCUCGGAACCGCAGCCGAUAGGCGAAACUUCUUGGGAGGAUCGAGCACAGGCGGACAUAGUCAGAUAUCACGAACUUCAGCCCCCCCUUCCCCCCAUGCAAUACAUAUCCUCCUCCCACAAUUCGCACUAUUCGCACACGAGCACGCAGAUGAGCCAUCCGCACGUGUCCACGUCCUACGCGCAAUACCAACGUUACGUACCUGGUAUCGAAACAUGGCCUCAUUACAUGUAAGUGAGAAUGGGGGGAGGUGAGCCUUGAAAGAGAAAUUAAUUCCCGCACAACAACAACAACAAUAACGAAGAAUCCUUGUUUGGGUGUUACUCCCGCACUCCCUCCCUCCAUUCGAUCCAGUUUCUUUUUCCAACAGAUUUUAUCGCUGAUUUUGUUCACAAUCGCGUCUCUGUAAGCACGCGUACGCGUUCAAGUGUGCAUAAUAUAGGUAUAUAUAUAUAUAUAUAUACGUAUGGGAGAUUGGGAACGUAUAUACGUUCAUUAACAGAAGGAAAACUGGAUCGUGCGAAAUCUAUCGACCGGUUGGAAGUUUCCGCGUUUCGUUCGCGUUGGAAACGUUGCUCCGAUGGUUGGACGCGUCGAAAGAGAAGGACGCGAGAGAAGCCACGAUCUUACUCCAUGACAUCAUUCCAUGACAGUCGGCCAUUCCAAAGCGCAGAAUUUCAGGCUAAACAAACAGCACGCUCGAUACGAUACCCUGCCGCGUGAUCUAAAUAUAAUAAUAAUAUAUAAGGCUUGAAGUGUGCGUAUAUACUCGGCCUUUGCGCUCGCGAGACCGCGUACGCUGCUUGCGUACGCUCUUCAAAAUAAACUCGCGAAAUUCGAUCGCGAUCGUAGUCGAGUCGCGAGAAACGACUGCUCUCCGAAUUUCGAACGACGGAUCCGCCGCUCUCUUCAUAGCCGAGAGAAAUUUUCUCGAGAGGAUCGAGCCGAUUUCACGGGAAGAAUCUCAGCGGGGGAUAUUCGUAUCGAGCGAUAAUCGCGAGACGAGAAGCACGAGAAAUCGUCGAGAUAAAUAAGGUAUUAAACGCCGAUUAAACCGUGCUUUUGUACUUACAUUUAUCGUUUAGAUAUACAAUUUAUCGCGCAUCCUGUAACAAGCGCGAACUUGCGUAGAAACUUGUAGAAAACGUUUAACGCGCGAGCGUUCGAGGAGCGUUAAUUUAUAAGUAUGACGAUAUGUUAUAAGAUUUGUCCGAAAAAUAAAGGAAAAAAAAAAAA